ensembl:lncRNA
GGAGAGUAGUCUGAAUUAGGUUGUGCGGCGCUGCCCCACCUCACCCAUUGGACUCAGCACGCCGGCCGUGAGUCUGUCUCAAAGCACCGCGGGGCCACGAGCAUCCGCCCCGGCUCAGAUCAGCUCCGCAGCCGUUCGGGCUUCUCCUGCCCAGGCCGGCCCGCGCGGCGCCCCCCCUUGCUGGUGGCUCACCCACCCACGCGGGCGGGGCUCUGCUGGAGCCGCCUCAUGGCCCUUCCCUCAGACCUUCCCCGAGGCGGAGAAGCGCGGGUGACGGACACCCAGUGCGUGGCCUCGACGGUGAGCUUCCUCCGGACGUUUGCGCACUUUGUGGAAGUGCCUAUAUACAGCUCUGGUUCCGGAACCCUUUUAGAAAGGGAAGAUCCCAGACUGGCUCUUCAGGAUCUGGUUCCUGGGCUGUCCCUUCAUCUUCUGUCAUGCUGAGGAGCAGUACAGAAGUCUGAGGACUGGACCUGAUCAGCAAGAGCAGGAGUCCUAUGGAAUGG